rnacentral:rRNA from 1 species
UACGUAGGGUGCUAGCGUUGUCCGGAAUUAUUGGGCGUAAAGAGCUCGUAGGCGGUUUGUCGCGUCGAAUGUGAAAACCCGGGGCUCAACCCCGGGCCUGCAGUGGGUACGGGCAGACUAGAGUGCGGUAGGGGAGACUGGAAUUCCUGGUGUAGCGGUGAAAUGCGCAGAUAUCAGGAGGAACACCGAUGGCGAAGGCAGGUCUCUGGGCCGUAACUGACGCUGAGGAGCGAAAGUGUGGGGAGCGAACAGG